UACGGGGGGUGCAAGCGUUGUCCGGAAUCAUUGGGCGUAAAGCGUUCGUAGGCGGCAAGGUAAGUCUGAUGUUAAAGCCCGGGGCUCAACUCCGGUUCGGCAUUGGAUACUAUCUAGCUAGAAUGUGGUAGAGGUAAAGGGAAUUCCUGGUGUAGCGGUGAAAUGCGUAGAUAUCAGGAGGAACAUCGGUGGCGAAAGCGCUUUACUGGACCAUUAUUGACGCUGAGGAACGAAAGCCAGGGGAGCAAAUGGG
rnacentral:rRNA from 1 species